UACCGGCUCUCCAUCGGCCGUGGUCACUGAAGAGGCACUACAUCCUUGCCGGGCGUGCGGAUCGGGUUUUCCCGUUCCAAGCGACGGCGGCGCUUACGGAACUCGCGAGAGUUCCAGCCGCGACCGCCACCCGCGAAAUCUGCCGGCUU
rfam:Kaistia soli DSM 19436 genome assembly, contig: EJ62DRAFT_scaffold00004.4